rnacentral:lncRNA from 1 species
AACCUUCCCCUCUGCAAAAGCAGAACAAAACAAAUACCCCAAAGGCAUGCUCCAAUGAGCCACCUCCUGAAGCUACAUCCUACCUACUACAGUUACUACCCAGCUAAUUAGAUUUAACCCAAUAAUCUAAUAAACUGAGAAUGGAUGUUAGGACAAAGAGAUUGAGAAACUUAUCUAUGGAUUCAAAGCAAAUAAAUGGUAAAGUCAGAUUUAAAAUCAAAGCAGUGUAUUAAUGGGGAGGAAGAAAGGAAUAUCCAAAUAAAAGGAUUUGCCCAUUGAGUAGUUUUGUGGCCUUUUAAUUCAAGAUAUACUUGAUUCAAUAUUUCAUGAGCAUUUCAUAAGAAAUAGAAUUAAGUAUAAUUUACUUUGAAGUUUAAAUUCUGUUACAUUUUUCAGAUUUACAUAAUGCCCCACUCAUAAUGGCAAACAACAGUGAAGAUUUGAUAUGUUAUUAGUUUUCUAGGGCUGUCAUACAAAAUACCAUAGACUAGGUUGCUUAAACAACUGAAAUUUAUUUCCUCACUGAUCAAGAUGUUAGCCGGUUUGGUUUCUUUUGAAGUGUAGGAAGCUUUAUAAUCUCUCUUUAGCUUCACAUGACCAUUUUCUCCCUGGGUCUUCAUGUAGUUUUCCCUUUGGCCAUGUUUGCAUCCUAAUCUCCUCUUCUUAUAAGAAAACUAGUCAUAUUGGAUCAGAGGCCACUGUAAUGACUUCCUUUAACUGUAAUUACAUCAUUGAAACUCUCCACAUAUAGCCAUGUUUUGAGAUAUUGGGUUCAAGGACUUUAAUGUACGAUUUUAGACAAUAGAAAUUCAACUCAUAAAGCCACUAAACUUCCUGAUUCCAAAAUGUAUUUCAAAGAUAUAGUAAUCAAAAAAAAAAAAAAAAACAUUACUCACAUAUAACAGACUGACCAAUGAAACAGAAAGAAACCCCAGAAAUAUAUUCACUCAUUUAUGAUCAAUUUAUUUUUUGAAAAAGAUGCCAAGAACACAUAAUAGGGAAAGAACAAUGUCUUCAAUAAUUGUUGGAAAAUUUAUAUCCAUGUGCAGGAAAAUGAAAUGAGACCCUUGUCUCCUUUCAUAUAUAAAAAUCAACUCAAAAUGCAUUAACGACUUCAACAUAAGACACCAAACCAUAAAAGAAAUAGGAUAAAAUAUGGGAAAACUCCAUGACAUUAGCCUGGGGAAUAAUUUUUUGGAUAGGACCCCAAAAUCCCAGGCUUACCAUUUCUGUACAGAAAUGGUAACAACAAGGACAUAGACAAUAGACAGAUUGAGAGUCUAUAUAUGUAAACCAAAUAAGGGAUUAAUAUUCAGAAAGGUAAGCAACCACUUUAACUCGAUAGUAACAAUACAGCCUGAUUAGAAGAUGGGAAAAGGUCCUGACUAGACAUUCUCAUUAAAAGGGACAAGAAGUACAGUGAAUAUGAAAGAUGCUCAAUACUACUAAUCAAUAAGGGAAAUGUCAAAUAAAAUGACAAUAAGGUAUCAUUUAUACCCAUUAAAAUAGUUAUUAUCAUAGAUGAACAUUAAGUCAACUUUUCACUGUUAUGACCAAAAGAACUGACAAGAACAAUUUUACAGGAUGGAAAAUUUAUUUUGGAAGAAAAAAUUUAUUUUGGGGCUCAUGGUUUCAAAGUUUUCAAUCCAUAGAUGGCUUACUCCAUUGCUUUGGGUUUCAGGUGAGGCAGAACAUCCUGGCAGAAGAAUGUGGCAGAGAAAAACAGUUUAGGACAUAGAAUCAGGAAGCAGAAAGGGAGCCCUCCCCUUCUGCAAAAACAGAACAAAACAAAUACCCCAAAGGUAUGACCCAAUGACCCACCUCCUGCCGCCAUAUCCUACCUACCUACAGUUACUUUCCAGUAAUCCCUAUUAGGAGAUUAAUAGGUUAAACUCUCAUAACCCAACAAUUCUACUCCUAAACUUCUUUGCAUUGUCUCUCACACGAGCUUUUGUGGGACAUAUCACAUCUAAAACAUAAUAAACAAGUGUUAGGAGGUGUAGAAAAGAAAACUCUUGCACAUUGUUGGUGAGAUGUAAAGUAGCACAGCCAUUAUGGAAAAUGAUAUGUAUGUUCCUCAAAAUAUUAAAAAUCGAAUUACCAUUUGAUCCACUUAUCCCACUACUGGAUAUAUAUUCAGAAGACAAGAAUCCAGCCUGUCAAAGGAAUAUCUGCACUUCCAUGUGUAUUGCAUUAUUACUCUCAAUAGUCAAUAUAUGUAAUCAACCUAAGCAUCCAUCAACUAAUGAAUGGAUAAAGAAAAUAGAGCAUAUAGACACAAUGGAAUGCUAUCUAGCCAUAAAGAAGUAAAGCAGGGGGCUGGGGUCGUGGCUCAGCAGUAGAGCUCUCGCUUCACACAUGCAAGACCCUGGGUUUGAUCCUCAGCACCACAUAAAAAUAUAUGAAUAAAAUAAAGGUAUUGUGUCCAACUACAACUAAAAAAUAAAUAUUAAAAAAAACAAGUAAAGCCUGUUAUUUGUGACAAUAGGAAUGAACCUGGAGGACAUUUUGUUAGGUGAAAUAAAUCAGGUACAUAAUGACAACUAGUGUAUGGUAUCACUUUACCUGUGGAAUCUGACAAUGUCAGACCCAUAGAAACAGGGUGAAAUGGUGAUUAUCAGAAGCUGGUGGUUGAAGAGAUUGAAGAGAUUUUAGUCAAAAAAUGCAAAUUUUAAUAUACUUUGAGGAUGAUGAUGUUGAUUCUCUUUGAAGAUCUUGUAGAAUGUGGCUGCAAAACUAUCCAGUCAUUUGUUGGUAGGGUUUUGGUGGCAUCUUCAUUUUUGUGACUUGAAGUUGACCUGUUUAAAUUUUCUAUAUCCUCCUGGUUCAAUUUAGGUGGAUCAUAUAUCUCUAGAAAUUUGUCAAUGUAUUCAAGAUUUUCAAAUUUAUUAGAGUAUAAAUUUUCAAAAUCAUUUCUCUGAUUUUCUUCUAUAUUUUAGUAAUGUCCUUGGUCACAUUUCUUUUUUUUGUCAUAGAUUUUAAUAAUCUUAUUUUAUUGAACACAUGCAUACGAGGCAUCACAUUUAGCUUUAAGACUAUUUAAAGAUAAUUUUUAUACAUCUGCAUAAACUUGUUCAUGACACCACUUUCCUCCUUGAAAGUAUUUUAUCCAUAUUAUUUACAUUGGAAUACCCAGAAUACUUGUGUUACACAUAUGAUAUUGUUAAAUCUAUAGUGAUAAUUACCUUUCCAGGGAGAUUAAUGUUGCAUACUCUAGUUAAAAUUUUGGUGUCAGUGCAUGAAAACAUGGAGAAUAUUCUACACAGGGGUAUUAUUCCUAACUAUUUAAAUACUGAUUUAGUAGUGUUAAAUUUAAAAAAAAAAAAUUGGCAAUUGCUCUUCUAGUCUUAAGUAAAAAAUAGAUAAUUAAUAAAGUUGCUAUGAUUCUUGGAGUAAUAUAUGUGUUUCUGUGUGUAUACAUGUACUUUUUUGCCCCCAAUCCUGCCCCUUACAAUCUGUGCGGAAGAGAUAUGUGUUCUUUAUGAAUUUAUUUAAUCCUAUAAUUUUCAUUUCUAAAUAGGAGUCCCCACACACAAUAAAACCUUUAGCAAUAGAAGAC